CAUCUCUUGCCUCGACCCCCUGUUCCGCCGCCGCCCGACCUGAGCGCUGGCCGCAUCGCCGCCACAGAGAGGCCGUGCCGCCGCCGCUCGAGUCCACACGAAGCGUCGCAUCCGCUCGAUUCCAUACCUCCACGGCUCCACCGGCCGCUCUAGUCCACAGCCCACGCCGCCUCCUAUCGGCGCUCGAAUCCACUCGUCGACCGGCCGCAGGAGCUGCCGCCCGAUUCCACAGAAGGAAGACAGGGAGACGGCGGGAGCGCAGGACAUCGCCUCCGCCCAACCAUUACCUUUGACGCUGCUUCUCCACAAUCUGGCGGCGGGGGUCGCUGCUUCUCUACGUCGUCAGACUGCGCCAGCUAAGAGCUCAUGCUGAUGAGAUCACUAAUGGACGCAAUUUAAACCCUGAUGUUGUCGAGAGGAUUCAAAAUGAUAAGUUCCACGAAUGGUUCCAAGCUCAUAUAAAGAAAUUGGAGAAGGAAAAUGGCAUCCACAACAUUGAAAAGGAUAUUAGAUUGCUCGCCCGCGGCCCAGUUAAUGCAGCCAAAAUAUAUUGCGCUUUCAACUCCCGAGGCUACCAUUUUAGGCCUAAACGCUUGGAUAAAGAGACACAAAAUAGUGGAGUCAUGGUAACUGCAAAAACAGCUAGUUAUGAUUCAGCACGUGAUGCCAAUCCUGUUUUACAUGAUGUGACGUACUACGGGAGGGUAAUUGAUAUUGUCGAGCUAAACUACUCUGGACAGUUCUCAGUGGUGUUGUUUAAAUGUGAAUGGGUUGAUGU